CCUACGGGUGGCAGCAGGGAGGAAUAUUGGUCAAUGGGCGAGAGUCUGAACCAGCCAAGUAGCGUGAAGGAUGACUGCCCUAUGGGUUGUAAACUUCUUUUAUAAAGGAAUAAAACGAGGCACGUGUGCCUUUUUGCAUGUACUUUAUGAAUAAGGAUCGGCUAACUCCGUGCCAGCAGCCGCGGUAAUACGGAGGAUCCGAGCGUUAUCCGGAUUUAUUGGGUUUAAAGGGAGCGUAGAUGGGUUGUUAAGUCAGUUGUGAAAGUUUGCGGCUCAACCGUAAAAUUGCAAUUGAUACUGGCAGUCUUUACUACAGUUGAGGUCGGCGGACUUCGUGGUGUAGCG
rnacentral:rRNA from 1 species